AUUGAACGCUGGCGGCAGGCCUAACACAUGCAAGUCGAGCGGAUGAAGGGAGCUUGCUCCUGGAUUCAGCGGCGGACGGGUGAGUAAUGCCUAGGAAUCUGCCUGGUAGUGGGGGAUAACGUCCGGAAACGGGCGCUAAUACCGCAUACGUCCUGAGGGAGAAAGUGGGGGAUCUUCGGACCUCACGCUAUCAGAUGAGCCUAGGUCAGAUUAGCUAGUUGGUGGGGUAAAGGCCUACCAAGGCGACGAUCCGUAACUGGUCUGAGAGGAUGAUCAGUCACACUGGAACUGAGACACGGUCCAGACUCCUACGGGAGGCAGCAGUGGGGAAUAUUGGACAAUGGGCGAAAGCCUGAUCCAGCCAUGCCGCGUGUGUGAAGAAGGUCUUCGGAUUGUAAAGCACUUUAAGUUGGGAGGAAGGGCAGUAAGUUAAUACCUUGCUGUUUUGACGUUACCAACAGAAUAAGCACCGGCUAACUUCGU
rnacentral:rRNA from 1 species